AAAGUUCUCAACCAUGUCGGGGUUCUUAUUCCGGUGUGGCUUGGAUUUGGGGGAUUUUGCUGGCUUUUGAAACCAGAAGUCGGCUCCCUUGAAAAGGAUUAGCGGUAUCUGAGCAAGAAACUAUGUCAGGUGUGAUAACUUAUCUAUGCCUCGGUGUGAACUCAUGCGUGUGGACCGCUUCUAACCAUAGAAAGAGUGUGUUGACAAA
rnacentral:misc_RNA from 1 species